rnacentral:lncRNA from 1 species
CGUUUGGUGUGUGUAGUCAUUUGAUUUUGCCAUGUGAUUAGGGACUUUCCGAUUGAUAUUUCCUCGGAGCUUGUUACAUUUUAAUGUUGUGUCGUUGUUCUCCUCUAAUAUUUAAUGCGGUUCCUUCAGUUUUAGUUUGUUACAUUUUAAUGUUGUGUCGUUGUUCUCUGGCGUCUGGCGUACUAAAUUAUAAUCCUGGUACCUU